UUAUAUAAUGUAUGUGUGUUUUUAUUAAAUAAUAUUGAUUAUAAUAAGAUUGAGAUGUUCAGUAUAUUUAUUUAUACAAUGGAUGAGAGUUUUAUAUAGAAAUUAUAAAUUAAGAUUGGAUAAAUUUGUGCCAGCAUCUGCGGUUAUACAAAUGAUUUAAAUUAAAAAAAUUUGGUUGAAAAUAAAGUAAUGUGAUUAUAUGGAUUGAAGGGAAUUUUAUUGAUUGGUUUUUAGGUAAAAUUUUUGUAUUGGUUUGUUGAUUGUUUGUUUUCUUUAAUAUUAAUACUUUGAAAAUUUAAAAAUAAACUAGGAUUAGAUACCCUAUUAUUUUUUUUUGUAAAAGUUAAUUUUUUACCUAAGUAUUAUGAGUGUAAUUGAAAUAUGUUUAAAUAUAAUUAAACAUAAAUUAAUUUUUAUUUAAAAUUUAAAAGGUUUGGCGGUUUUACAUAUCCAGUUAGGGGAGUUUGUUAAUUUGUUUGAUAAUCCUCAUUUUAAACUUACUUUUUUUUGAAUAUAUAUAUAUAUAUAUAUAUAUAUACAGUUUAUAUAUUGCUGUCGUCAGUUUAUCUUUUGAGAAUUAAAAGGACUAUUAAAAUUUUUUGGUUGUUAUGUCAAGUCAUAAUGUAGCUGAUGAAGAAGGUUUAAUGAACUACUGUAAAUAAUGGUUUUGAUAUCCGGAUGAUGAAAUUUAUAUUUUGUUAAGAAGGGGGACUUAAUAGUAAAUUUAUAAUUAGUAUGUAUAGUUGAAUAAGGUUUUGUAAAGUGUACAUAUCGCCCGUCACUCUUGUUUAUAGAUAAGAUAAGUCGUAACAUAGUAGAGGUAAUGGAAAUUGUUUCUGGAUUAAA
rnacentral:rRNA from 1 species